rnacentral:rRNA from 1 species
AGAGUUUGAUCCUGGCUCAGGACGAACGCUGGCGGCGUGCCUAAUACAUGCAAGUAGAACGCUGAAGAGAGGAGCUUGCUCUUCUUGGAUGAGUUGCGAACGGGUGAGUAACGCGUAGGUAACCUGCCUGGUAGCGGGGGAUAACUAUUGGAAACGAUAGCUAAUACCGCAUAAUAGUAGAUGUUGCAUGACAUUUGCUUAAAAGGUGCAAUUGCAUCACUACCAGAUGGACCUGCGUUGUAUUAGCUAGUUGGUGAGGUAACGGCUCACCAAGGCGACGAUACAUAGCCGACCUGAGAGGGUGAUCGGCCACACUGGGACUGAGACACGGCCCAGACUCCUACGGGAGGCAGCAGUAGGGAAUCUUCGGCAAUGGACGGAAGUCUGACCGAGCAACGCCGCGUGAGUGAAGAAGGUUUUCGGAUCGUAAAGCUCUGUUGUAAGAGAAGAACGAGUGUGAGAGUGGAAAGUUCACACUGUGACGGUAUCUUACCAGAAAGGGACGGCUAACUACGUGCCAGCAGCCGCGGUAAUACGUAGGUCCCGAGCGUUGUCCGGAUUUAUUGGGCGUAAAGCGAGCGCAGGCGGUUAGAUAAGUCUGAAGUUAAAGGCUGUGGCUUAACCAUAGUACGCUUUGGAAACUGUUUAACUUGAGUGCAAGAGGGGAGAGUGGAAUUCCAUGUGUAGCGGUGAAAUGCGUAGAUAUAUGGAGGAACACCGGUGGCGAAAGCGGCUCUCUGGUCUGUAACUGACGCUGAGGCUCGAAAGCGUGGGGAGCGAACAGGAUUAGAUACCCUGGUAGUCCACGCAGUAAACGAUGAGUGCUAGGUG